rnacentral:rRNA from 1 species
CACGUAGGCACCAAGCGUUGUCCGGAUUUAUUGGGCGUAAAGAGCUCGUAGGCGGUUCGGUAAGUCGGGUGUGAAAACUCUGGGCUCAACCCAGAGCCGCCACCCGAUACUGCUGUGACUUGAGUUCGGUAGGGGAGCGGGGAAUUCCUGGUGUAGCGGUGAAAUGCGCAGAUAUCAGGAGGAACACCAAUUGCGAAGGCAGCUCGCUGGGACGUUACUGACGCUGAGACGCGAAAGCGUGGGGAGCAAACAGG